AUGUUUCUACCCGGCAAGCUUUCACACCGGCAUGGUUCGGCAAGGUUUCUACCCCGGCAAGGGUUCCUCCCUGACAAGGUUUCUCCCCCGGCAAGAUUUCACACCGGCAAGCUUUCACACCGGCGAUCUUUCUGUGCCGGCAAGCUUUCCAUGCCGGCAAGCCUUCACACCGGCAAGAUUUUACCCCGGCAAGGUUUUCGCCCCGGCAUGCUGCUUUUGAUCGUGCCACUUUUGAGCGUCAACAACUAUUUAUGCAUUUUCUUUAACAAAGUUACUGUAGCAACAUGCGAGACAUCAUCUAAUUAA
rnacentral:rRNA from 1 species